GUAUAUAUAGUUCUCGAUCGUCUGCCUUUUACUGAGUUAGGGUUUUAGCCAGGCUGCGCUUGGGCACCAAUGAUUCUGGCUGUACAAUCACAUCGGUAGGAAGCAAAUUGUUUUCUAUGUAUAUGGAUUUUGAAUAUAUGGGGCUGGAGUUUGGCUCUUUGGCUGGUUACCUGUGCCAUAGAGAUGAAUGCAGCUCCCUAAAUCAAUCUUCUCAUCCUCUCACUCUUGUUCGCUACGAUUUUUUCUUAUCAUAGCGAAUUUCUUUGUGAGGUUGUCACAUUUUAUCCUUUAAAAUUCCUUUUUUUUUUUUUCUAAAUUUUCAUUUAAUUGGUUUCUGCCUUUCUUCUUUAAAGUUAAUUAUCGAGCAGUAAUUCAGGCAGCCUCUUUGCAGAAGAUAUAGUAGCGAAGAAGGUGUUUAACUGCUCGGAUAUUAAUUGCCUUUUGCUCUUCAGACUUGCUGAUUUUUCAUUGAAGCUGGUCUAGUAAGCCUAAGCACAGUUAUGACUUUUCAUCUAUUUUCUUACCCCUUUCUUCCUUGGAAGUUGAAUUUUAUAGAUUGUUUGUUCGGUGGCAAGUGUGGGAAGCAAGAAGAAAAGGAAAGAAAAUCUUUUUUAUUGGGAUUUUAGAUGAGGAAUCAAGGGGAAUAUCAAUAUCAAUAUAAACUAGAUAUAGCGGAUUGGUUGGUUGCAGAAGCCUACUUCUCUCUGAUGCUCUUUUGAAAUAAUAUUGAUCUCCAUUUUGUUAGUCUGUCUAGUCUGAACAAAAUUCCGAAGUUCAUUAUUAAGAAAAUAAAAAUUUUGCAGCUUUGCAUCAGUGUGUUUAUACCAACGAAGUGCUUGCUUGAGAACAAGAUGAGGUGAUAAUUAGAAGAAUCAUUUAAAGUUAGUCUAGAAGAAGAAGAAAUUCAAUUUAAUACUUUAGAAGUGGAAAUUCAGCCUUCUAUGCGUCUUAAAAUAUAAAAUUUAAAGUGAUAUGUUGAAUUAACAGUAAGCUUAUUAUUGUGUUGUGUCUUGCUCUGAGACCAUAUCCAAGCAUUGGCUCAAUUUAAGUUUGCUGAAGUUAAAAUCCAGGUCUGAAUUUACAUUUUUGUUUCAAAUGUCGGGCUUAGAUUCUGCGUGUUAAUUAAGUGUGGAAUUUUUUGGUUUGAAUUAGUGAUCUUAAAUUGUUUUGUUCCUUUCCUUCCUGAGGAUUUAUUUAUCCUAUCAGGUUUCAGUACAGUUUGUUACUUCCUGACAAACUCAAUUGUAAGAAGUAAUUGAUAGAUAUCUUAUUUUAACAUAGUCCUAUGUAUGCUGCUCUGUGUUUUGCAGCAUAUUUAUUAGCAGGUGGUGUGAGCCUUCUAUUAAUGCUAUGUGUCUGUCAUGCCAUUGCUUGGAUUUCUGUUUGAAUGUACCUUAGAAUCCUGUAUACGUGAUUUGUGAUGCAUAGAUGCAUCUCUUUAAAAGAGAUUAUGGUGAUAAUCCUCACUUCUAUGCUUAAAAUUUUGAUGCAAAUUGGAUACGUCUUAUGUCCUAACUGUAAAUUUUUCAAAUGUGUUACCUUCCCAA
rnacentral:misc_RNA from 1 species